UCCUGACCCUUCUGUUGGACAUACUGUUGCUAGGUCAAAUACAUGUCCCCCUGACCCUUCUGUUGGAUUUACUGUUGCUAGGUCAAAUACAUGUCCCACUGACCCUUCUGUUGGACAUACUGUUGCUAGGUUAAAUACAUGUCCCCUUGACCCUUCUGUUGGACAUACUGUUGCUACGUAAAAUACAUGUCCCCCUGACCCUUCUGUUGGACUUACUGUUGCUAGGUCAAAUACAUGUCCCCCUGACCCUUCUGUUGGACUUACUGUUGCUAGGUCAAAUACAUGUCCCCCUGACCCUUCUGUUGCUAGGUCAAAUACAUGUCCCCCUGACCCUUCUGUUGCUAGGUCAAAUACAUGUCCCCCUGACCCUUCUGAAGCUAGGUCAAAUACAUGUCCCCCUGACCCUUCUGUUGCUAGGUCAAAUACAUGUCCCCCGCACCCUUCUGUUGGACAUACUGUUGCUAGGUAAAAUACAUGUCCCUCUGACCCUUCUGUUGCUAGGUCA
rnacentral:lncRNA from 1 species